AUUUGGAUUCCCCAAAAGAAAAAGUGAUUAAUUUUAUCAGAUAUGGACAACUGACUGAACAGAUAAGCUUUUGAAAAUUGAGUGGUUGUUGACCUCGAGCGUGUUUAUUGGCUGAGUAGAUACGGAGCCACCGCCGUGUUUCUCCCACGUUGCCGUGCGAGAGCAGAUCGGAGCUGCCGCCGCCGUGUCUCCAAGUUGCCACGCGAGAGCAGAUACGGAGCCGUCGCCGCCUUGUUUCUCCUAGUGCUGCGCGAGAGCAGAUCGGAGCCGCCGCCGCCGUGUUUCUCCCAGGUUGCCGCGCGAGAGCAGAUCGGAGGCCUCUCCUACGGGAAGGCGCAUGGCGGCUAGGACACCAGCUGUACGCUUUUUUCUGAUCGAGGCAUACUAGUUCGGUUUGUGAUUCACGCAAACUUCGAUCUAACCAGAUAAGCGGCAUUACCAAUUUGGAGAUACUACUCCAUUGUAUGAACUGAUUGAGGCAUACUAGUUCUUGCGUAAUAGUUUGUGUAUAUGAACAGGGAAUCUGCAUUUGCUAUUUUGCCAUAUGUCCGCAUGCGCUUGAUUUCGACUUGUGACUCAUGCAGACUCCAAAUUAACCAGAUUACGCGUUACCAUUUUGGACAUACUAUUCCAUCAUGCGUCGAUGCGUUUUUAAGUACAUUUGACCCUAAUUAUUUUCAUGGUUCAAGGCUAAAGAGUAUCUCAGAUAGAUCUGAUGCAGAAAACGUACAUGCUGUUUUUCUAUUCUGAAUGUAUCCAUUGGAGUUCUCGGUAAACUUGGUAGAAAAAAGAAUUAAUUUGGAUGUCCUGAACCUGCCUUCAGAAGAAGGCAUCCUAUGAUGUUGUUUGAUGAAUUAUAGUCACAGAGGGUGCUGAUGCAUCCAGUCAAGAAAGGCUUAGGACUGAUGUCAUGUCUUCUGCCUGUAUCAUUUAGUUGAGCAUACCUCUUUUGUAAUUGUAGUAUGCUUGUAUUUGUUCAAGUCUAGGAGUCCUGAUUUCUAAGAGUAUGUCAGAUUUUUUGGCAAGUUAUUAUGUACUUUUUUUAAUUCAUGUAUAUACUCGCAAAUUGUGAGAAGCAUUAUUUGAUAAUAGUUAUACUCUUGCAGAAUUAAUUUGGAUGUCCUGAACCUGCCUUCAGAAGAGGGCAUCCUAUGGUGUUGUUUGAUGAAUUGCAGUCACAGAAGGUGCUGAUGCAUCGAGUCAAGAAAGGCUUAGGACUGCUGUCAUGUCUUCUGCCUGCAUCAUUUAGUUGAGCAUACCUAUUUUGUAAUUGUAGUAUGCUUGUAUUUGUUCAAUUCUAGGAGUCCUGACUUUUUAGCUUAUUUCAGAUUUUUUGGCAAGUUAUUAUGUACUUUUUAUUCACGUAUAUACUCCUUGCGAAUUGUGAGAAUUA